rnacentral:rRNA from 1 species
AAACUGGGAUUAGAUACCCCACUAUGCUUAGCCCUAAACACAGAUAAUUACAUAAACAAAAUUAUUCGCCAGAGUACUACUAGCAACAGCUUAAAACUCAAAGGACUUGGCGGUGCUUUAUAUCCUUCUAGAGGAGCCUGUUCUAUAAUCGAUAAACCCCGAUAAACCUCACCAAUUCUUGCUAAUACAGUCUAUAUACCGCCAUCUUCAGCAAACCCUAAAAAGGAAAAAAAGUAAGCGUAAUUAUGAUACAUAAAAACGUUAGGUCAAGGUGUAACCUAUGAAAUGGGAAGAAAUGGGCUACAUUCUCUACACCAAGAGAAUCAAGCACGAAAGUUAUUAUGAAACCAAUAACCAAAGGAGGAUUUAGCAGUAAACUAAGAAUAGAGUGCUUAGUUGAAUUAGGCCAUGAAGCACGCACACACCGCCCGUCACCCUC